CGAAGCAUCCGACAGCACCAGGACUGUCCCUCCUCUGCUCGAGCUCCUAGUUGCGGCGGCUACCGUGGCGCUGCCACCAAUCCCCACCGGCUGGCCUGCAGGAGCCGCCACGCCACCUCCUUCCGUCGCCGCUGGCCGCCGUCAAGAUUUGUCGUCUCUAGUGAGUCUCCCUUCCGAUUCAUUGCCAACGCCUUCCCCUCGCCCUCCUCGGUUCCAUUGGGCCAACACCCGGGGCUCCCGACGACCACCCCCGCCCGUCGCUACCGUCCUCUGUCGGGCCACCUCUAAACCGCCGCUCCAGCCGUACGAUCCUUGGGUGAGCCUAGUCGCGCCACCAUCUUCCUCACGCACGCGCUGGCCCAAUCCCUGCUUGCUUGCCUGCCUCGCCACCACCACUACGGCCGAGCCGUGGCCGUGCUCCUUGGCCGCGCCUUGAUCUGGUCAGGGGCCGCCUGACCCCCUGGGCCCGACCUCGACACCUCUUCUUCCACCGCCGCCUCCACCAGAGCGCCCAACGACGCCCAGGCGCCGCCUCCAGAUAAUCAAUCGCUGGGCUGCCGCGGCCGUGCUCGUCACAACAUGCGCCGCACCUGGUAUGGCGACUCACUGGGCUGCUCAGCUUGUGCCGUCGCUCCUGAGUCUUCUCCAGUCACCCCCACAGCCUUAUCCUUUCUUUUUUUUGCUUCUCUUCCUCUCGCUUCCUUUGCUGCUCCUCGCAUCUCUGCCCGGUGAGCUCCUUGCUUCCCUACGACGCUUCCGCUUCGUCGCACGCUGCUCCACGCCCUCCUGCCCGGCGAGCUCCUACCACCCUACGGCUUCCUUUGCACGCACGCUGGUCCCCUUCUUCCCUUCGUACGGUACGUUUGCUUCCUUCCCCUUCCUUCCUAGAUCCAUCCGUAUCUAUUUGUGCUUCUUCUCUCACAGGCGCUAUGAAAUCUGCUAUCUGUAUUGCUCACUUAAUUAUGUUCCAUGAAUUGGUAUCUUGGAGUGUAGGUUAAUAUAUUUUUCUAGACUAAUGAGCAAUUAGUUUGACGCUGCAGCCUUCUGCGGCUGAAAACUUUCUUACUUGGGUUUUGCAGGCUGCAAUUACUAAUUUUAAGGUCACUUCUAGGUGCAAGGUAAAGGAUCCGUUGGUUCUAUGUGCUGCUAAGUAGGAUGUGAAGUUGUUGCCGCAUCAUGUUGCAAGUCCCGGUCACUUUCAGGGCAAUUCUUAUGACAUAGUAUUUGCUUUCCAGAUGCAUUUAUGCAAAUGAAAAAAGGCUGAUUAACUUGCCACUGAAGCUGAGGGGAAAAAUAAUUUGAUUCCAGCUACAACAUCUCCAUCAUGGAAACAGAACCGGAGGACUACUUCCCGUGCAAACAAGCAAACUCAAUACACUUAAUCUUGUCUUUUAGGAAUUAACGUCAUAUACCCAUAUGUAUCCAUCUUCCAAUAAGAAAUGGAAACUUUAUGCUCCGAACUUAACAGCACAAUUACUUCGCUAUUGGGAUAAAUUUUAUUUCGCUAG